rnacentral:rRNA from 1 species
GGGUUGUGAGGUUAAGCGACUAAGCGUACACGGUGGAUGCCCUGGCAGUCAGAGGCGAUGAAGGACGUGCUAAUCUGCGAAAAGCGUCGGUAAGGUGAUAUGAACCGUUACAGCCGGCGAUGUCCGAAUGGGGAAACCCAGUGCAAUUCGUUGCACUAUCGUUAACUGAAUACAUAGGUUAACGAGGCGAACCGGGGGAACUGAAACAUCUAAGUACCCCGAGGAAAAGAAAUCAACCGAGAUUCCCCCAGUAGCGGCGAGCGAACGGGGAGCAGCCCAGAGUCUGAAUCAGCUUGUGUGUUAGUGGAACGGUCUGGAAAGUCCGACGGUACAGGGUGAUAGUCCCGUACACCAAAAUGCACAGGUUGUGAACUCGAAGAGUAGGGCGGGACACGUGGUAUCCUGUCUGAAUAUGGGGGGACCAUCCUCCAAGGCUAAAUACUCCUGACUGACCGAUAGUGAACCAGUACCGUGAGGGAAAGGCGAAAAGAACCCCGGCGAGGGGAGUGAAAAAGAACCUGAAACCGUGUACGUACAAGCAGUGGGAGCACCUUCGGGUGUGACUGCGUACCUUUUGUAUAAUGGGUCAGCGACUUAUAUUCUGUAGCAAGGUUAACCGUAUAGGGGAGCCGCAGGGAAACCGAGUCUUAACUGGGCGUUAAGUUGCAGGGUAUAGACCCGAAACCCGGUGAUCUAGCCAUGGGCAGGUUGAAGGUUGGGUAACACUAACUGGAGGACCGAACCGACUAAUGUUGAAAAAUUAGCGGAUGACUUGUGGCUGGGGGUGAAAGGCCAAUCAAACCGGGAGAUAGCUGGUUCUCCCCGAAAGCUAUUUAGGUAGCGCCUCGUGAACUCAUCUUCGGGGGUAGAGCACUGUUUCGGCUAGGGGGUCAUCCCGACUUACCAACCCGAUGCAAACUACGAAUACCGAAGAAUGUUAUCACGGGAGACACACGGCGGGUGCUAACGUCCGUCGUGAAGAGGGAAACAACCCAGACCGCCAGCUAAGGUCCCAAAGUCACAGUUAAGUGGGAAACGAUGUGGGAAGGCACAGACAGCCAGGAUGUUGGCUUAGAAGCAGCCAUCAUUUAAAGAAAGCGUAAUAGCUCACUGGUCGAGUCGGCCUGCGCGGAAGAUGUAACGGGGCUAAACUGUGCACCGAAGCUGCGGCAGCGACACUAUGUGUUGUUGGGUAGGGGAGCGUUCUGUAAGCCUGCGAAGGUGGCCUGUGAGGGUUGCUGGAGGUAUCAGAAGUGCGAAUGCUGACAUAAGUAACGAUAAUGCGGGUGAAAAGCCCGCACGCCGGAAGACCAAGGGUUCCUGUCCAACGUUAAUCGGGGCAGGGUGAGUCGACCCCUAAGGCGAGGCCGAAAGGCGUAGUCGAUGGGAAACAGGUUAAUAUUCCUGUACUUGGUGUUACUGCGAAGGGGGGACGGAGAAGGCUAUGUUAGCCGGGCGACGGUUGUCCCGGUUUAAGCAUGUAGGCGGAGGUUCCAGGUAAAUCCGGUACCUUAUUAACGCUGAGGUGUGAUGACGAGGCACUACGGUGCUGAAGUAACAAAUGCCCUGCUUCCAGGAAAAGCCUCUAAGCAUCAGGUAACAUUAAAUCGUACCCCAAACCGACACAGGUGGUCAGGUAGAGAAUACCAAGGCGCUUGAGAGAACUCGGGUGAAGGAACUAGGCAAAAUGGUGCCGUAACUUCGGGAGAAGGCACGCUGAUAUGUAGGUGAAGCCCCUGCGGGUGGAGCUGAAAUCAGUCGAAGAUACCAGCUGGCUGCAACUGUUUAUUAAAAACACAGCACUGUGCAAACACGAAAGUGGACGUAUACGGUGUGACGCCUGCCCGGUGCCGGAAGGUUAAUUGAUGGGGUUAUCCGUAAGGAGAAGCUCUUGAUCGAAGCCCCGGUAAACGGCGGCCGUAACUAUAACGGUCCUAAGGUAGCGAAAUUCCUUGUCGGGUAAGUUCCGACCUGCACGAAUGGCGUAAUGAUGGCCAGGCUGUCUCCACCCGAGACUCAGUGAAAUUGAACUCGCUGUGAAGAUGCAGUGUACCCGCGGCAAGACGGAAAGACCCCGUGAACCUUUACUAUAGCUUGACACUGAACAUUGAGCCUUGAUGUGUAGGAUAGGUGGGAGGCUUUGAAGCGUGGACGCCAGUCUGCGUGGAGCCAACCUUGAAAUACCACCCUUUAAUGUUUGAUGUUCUAACGUUGGCCCCUAAUCGGGGUUGCGGACAGUGUCUGGUGGGUAGUUUGACUGGGGCGGUCUCCUCCCAAAGAGUAACGGAGGAGCACGAAGGUUAGCUAAUCCUGGUCGGACAUCAGGAGGUUAGUGCAAUGGCAUAAGCUAGCUUGACUGCGAGCGUGACGGCGCGAGCAGGUGCGAAAGCAGGUCAUAGUGAUCCGGUGGUUCUGAAUGGAAGGGCCAUCGCUCAACGGAUAAAAGGUACUCCGGGGAUAACAGGCUGAUACCGCCCAAGAGUUCAUAUCGACGGCGGUGUUUGGCACCUCGAUGUCGGCUCAUCACAUCCUGGGGCUGAAGUAGGUCCCAAGGGUAUGGCUGUUCGCCAUUUAAAGUGGUACGCGAGCUGGGUUUAGAACGUCGUGAGACAGUUCGGUCCCUAUCUGCCGUGGGCGCUGGAGAAUUGAGGGGGGCUGCUCCUAGUACGAGAGGACCGGAGUGGACGCAUCACUGGUGUUCGGGUUGUCAUGCCAAUGGCAUUGCCCGGUAGCUAAAUGCGGAAGAGAUAAGUGCUGAAAGCAUCUAAGCACGAAACUUGCCCCGAGAUGAGUUCUCCCUGAGACUUUAAGUCUCCUGAAGGAACGUUAAAGACGAUGACGUUGAUAGGUCGGGUGUGUAAGCGUAGCGAUACGUUGAGCUAACCGAUACUAAUGAACCGUGAGGCUUAACCUUACAACGCCGAAGGUGUUU